AUUGAACGCUGGCGGCAUGCCUUACACAUGCAAGUCGAACGGCAGCAUGAUCUAGCUUGCUAGAUUGAUGGCGAGUGGCGAACGGGUGAGUAAUACAUCGGAACGUGCCCUGUAGUGGGGGAUAACUAGUCGAAAGAUUAGCUAAUACCGCAUACGACCUGAGGGUGAAAGUGGGGGACCGCAAGGCCUCAUGCUAUAGGAGCGGCCGAUGUCUGAUUCGCUAGUUGGUGAGGUAAAGGCUCACCAAGGCGACGAUCAGUAGCUGGUCUGAGAGGACGAUCAGCCACACUGGGACUGAGACACGGCCCAGACUCCUACGGGAGGCAGCAGUGGGGAAUUUUGGACAAUGGGCGAAAGCCUGAUCCAGCAAUGCCGCGUGUGUGAAGAAGGCCUUCGGGUUGUAAAGCACUUUUGUCCGGAAAGAAAUGGCUCUGGUUAAUACCUGGGGUCGAUGACGGUACCGGAAGAAUAAGGACCGGCUAACUACGUG
rnacentral:rRNA from 1 species